AGCUCAUCAUGCUGACAGUAUUCAGUUUGUUUUGGCUCACUGGUGUUUGUCUGGGUGUUAAAGUUUCCCAAACACCUGUGGAAGUUUUCAGAAGACCUGGAGAAAACGUCCAGCUGGUCUGCAGCCAUGAAAAGACCGACUACAUGCUCAUGCAGUGGUACCAGAAAUCCCCUGGAGACCAGGCUCUGAAGCGCAUUGGACAUUUAUAUUACAACAACAAAGAGCAUGAGGAAGUGUUUAAGACACAUUUUAAUAUUAGUGGAGAUUUGAGUGGAGAUAACGCAAAGAAUGCUUCUCUGUUUAUAGUGGACCUAAAGGCACCUGAGCACAGUGCAGUGUAUUACUGUGCAGCAAGCUAUGCACACUGAGAGGAAAACCCCUCCCUGUAAUACAAAAACUCAAAACCACCCACUUUAAUGGUCUGAUGGAUCUAAACUGAACAUACUCCUCCCACCUCUUGGUUAGAUCCCAGCCAGUAUAGUGUUCACUUCAUUUUCAUCUUAAAGUUUAACACAGAUCAGUAAAGUCUGACAUCAAAACACAGCAAGUUCAAUUUAAAGACACGUUAUCAAAGGAGGGUCAAAAUGAUUGUUUUUCUCUUUUUCUGGUGCCUGACAGGUGUCUGUCUGGGUGUAGAGGUCCGUCAGACUCCCUCUGAGUUCAUCACAAAUGUUGAAUCCAAAGUGCAGAUUUUCUGCAGCCAUGAAAAGACUGACUACAGGGUGAUGCUGUGGUACCAGCAGUCACCUGGAGAGACAGCUAUGAAACUCAUUGGAUUUUUAAACGUCAAA